UAUAAACUGUAGAUAGGGAAGUAAAAAUAAGUUAAACUUUUUAGAGAGUGAACGAUGGUGAGAGUUUCAUAAGAAAUGACUUAUUAAAUGGACCCUUGAGGGCUUUGGGGAAAUUAGUAUCCAAAGACGGCUUCUCCCGUAAUAGAGAUAGAGUGUUGUAGCAUUCGAAGAGUGGGUAGUACAUAAUACUAUCAAUCAGGGUGGCACCGCAAAAUGAUUGUUUUGUCCUUGAA
rnacentral:ncRNA from 1 species